AUUGAACGCUGGCGGCAGGCCUAACACAUGCAAGUCGAGCGGAUGAAGAGAGCUUGCUCUCUGAUUUAGCGGCGGACGGGUGAGUAAUGCCUAGGAAUCUGCCUGGUAGUGGGGGAUAACGUUCCGAAAGGAACGCUAAUACCGCAUACGUCCUACGGGAGAAGGCAGGGGACCUUCGGGCCUUGCGCUAUCAGAUGAGCCUAGGUCGGAUUAGCUAGUUGGUGAGGUAAUGGCUCACCAAGGCUACGAUCCGUAACUGGUCUGAGAGGAUGAUCAGUCACACUGGAACUGAGACACGGUCCAGACUCCUACGGGAGGCAGCAGUGGGGAAUAUUGGACAAUGGGCGAAUGCCUGAUCCAGCCAUGCCGCGUGUGUGAAGAAGGUCUUCGGAUUGUAAAGCACUUUAAGUUGGGAGGAAGGGCAGUAAGUUAAUACCUUGCUGUUUUGACGUUACCGACAGAAUAAGCACCGGCUAACUUCGUGCCAGCAGCCGCGGUAAGAC
rnacentral:rRNA from 1 species